UGGCUCAGAAUGAACGCUGGCGGCGUGCUUAACACAUGCAAGUCGAACGGUAACAGGAAGUAGCUUGCUAGUUUGCUGACGAGUGGCGCACGGGUGAGUAAUAUAUAGAUAAUGUGCCCCUUGGACCGGGAUAGCCAUUGGAAACGAUGAUUAAUACCGGAUACUCCUUCUUACCAUAAGGUAAGUCGGGAAAUGGAUUCCGCCAAGGGAUCGGUCUAUAUCCCAUCAGUUAGUUGGUAGUGUAAGAGACUACCAAGACGAUGACGGGUAGCGGGUUUGAGAGGAUGAUCCGCCACACUGGUACUGAGACACGGACCAGACUCCUACGGGAGGCAGCAGUGAGGAAUAUUGCACAAUGGGGGAAACCCUGAUGCAGCAACGCCGCGUGGAGGAUGACGCAUUUCGGUGUGUAAACUCCUUUUAUAUGUCAAGAAAAUGACGGUAGCAUAUGAAUAAGCACCGGCUAACUCCGUGCCAGCAGCCGCGGUAAUACGGAGGGUGCAAGCGUUAUUCGGAAUCACUGGGCGUAAAGGACGCGUAGGCGGGUUGGAAAGUCAGAUGUGAAAUCCUACAGCUUAACUGUAGAACUGCAUUUGAAACUUCCAAUCUAGAGUAUGGGAGGGGGAGAUGGAAUUAGUGGUGUAGGGGUAAAAUCCGUAGAUAUCACUAGGAAUACCGAAAGCGAAGGCGAUCUCCUGGAACAUAACUGACGCUAAGGCGUGAAAGCGUGGGGAGCAAACAGGAUUAGAUACCCUGGUAGUCCACGCCCUAAACGAUGUUCACUAGUCGUCGGGAUGCUAGUCAUCUCGGUGAUGCACUUAACAGAUUAAGUGAACCGCCUGGGGAGUACGGUCGCAAGAUUAAAACUCAAAGGAAUAGACGGGGACCCGCACAAGUGGUGGAGCAUGUGGUUUAAUUCGAAGAUACGCGAAGAACCUUACCUAGCCUUGACAUUGAGAGAACCUGCCAGAGAUGGCGGGGUGCCCUUCGGGGAGCUCGAAAACAGGUGCUGCACGGCUG
rnacentral:rRNA from 1 species